rnacentral:rRNA from 1 species
AUUGAACGCUGGCGGCAGGCCUAACACAUGCAAGUCGAACGAGUGGCGGACGGGUGAGUAAUGUCUGGGAAACUGCCCGAUGGAGGGGGGUAACUACUGGAAACGGUAGCUAAUACCGCAUACCAUCGGAUGUGCCCAGAUGGGCUUAGCUAGUAGGUGGGGUAACGGCUCACCUGGGCGACGGUCCCUAGCUGGUCUGAGAGGAUGACCGGCCACACUGGAACUUAGACACGGUCCAGAAUCCUACGGGAGGCAGCAGUGGGGAAGAUUGCACAAUGGGCGCAAGCCUGAUGCAGCCAUGCCGCGUGUAUGAAGAAGGCCUUCGGGUUGUAAAGUACUUUCAGCGAGGAGGCGGUACUCGCAGAAGAAGCACCGGCUAACUCCGUGCCAGCCGCCGCGGUAAUAC